rnacentral:lncRNA from 1 species
UUCUAGAUCUGUUCAAGAUCUGUGCGAGGCCAAAAAAUCAGAGAACCAGAGAGAGAAACCGAAUCGCACUCCUUCAGGCCGAAAGCCCGAAUCUAAUACUGAGUUUGGUAAAUUUUCUUCUACCUUACAUCUGGUUAUUCCUCUUUUAAAUUAAAUCCUUAAUCCCAUGUAGAGAAAUUGGGAAUAGAAAACUGAAAAGAGGGCCGAUUGUAUGAAACUAAAGUUGUUCGAAAACUUUCUAAUUUCUUCUUUCGUUGGGG